rnacentral:rRNA from 1 species
UACAGAGGGGGCAAGCGUUAUUCGGAAUUAUUGGGCGUAAAGGGCGCGUAGGCGGCCGAGCAAGUCUUGGGUGAAAUCCCUCGGCUCAACCGAGGAACUGCCUUGGAAACUGCUCGGCUUGAGGCCGGGAGAGGAUGGUGGAAUUCCCAGUGUAGCGGUGAAAUGCGUAGAUAUUGGGAGGAACACCAGUGGCGAAGGCGGCCAUCUGGACCGGUCCUGACGCUGAGGCGCGAAAGCGUGGGGAGCAAACAGG